rnacentral:rRNA from 1 species
GAUGAACGCUGACAGCAUGCUUAACACAUGCAAGUCUACUUGAACUUCGGUGUGUGUGGCGGACGGGUGAGUAACGCGUAAAGAACUUGCCUCACAGUUAGGGACAACAUUUGGAAACGAAUGCUAAUACCUGAGAUUAUGAUUUUAGGGCAGACUAGUUGUAUGAAAGCUAUAGGUGCUGUGAGGGAGCUUUGCGUCCAAUUAGCGAGUUGGAGAGGUAACGGCUCACAAAGGCGAUGAUGGGUAGCCGGCCUGAGAGGGUGAACGGCCACAAGGGGCCGGGGUAAGGGCCAUUACCCUAACGGGAGGAAGCAGGGGGGAAUUUUGGACAAUGGACCAAAAGUGUGAUACAGACAUUGUGUGUGGAAGAUGACGUUUUUCGGAAUGUAAAGUGCUUUCAGUUGGGAAGAAAAAAAUGACGGUACCAACAGAAGAAGUGACGGCUAAAUACGUG